AAGACAACCAGAGUUAAAAAAAUAUAAGAGUACACAAUCUCGCAAAGUUGACCAACGGAUAACAAAUUAUGAGAAAGAACAGGAACAAAAUAAGCAUAGUCAAUAAUAAGAUUAGAGGUAACAAUCGUGCCAAUAUGAGUAAUAGUCAUAAGGGAGUCAUUGGCAGUGUGUAGGAUGCACAAAGGAGGUGGGAUGUGUUAUAAAGAAUAAGGAGAUAUCAGAAGUCAUAUGAUUGCAACAUGUCGUAUCAAAAAGCCAAGGUAAAGUACUUGAAAUAGUUGAGAGAGCAGAUGAAUAAACAUUAGUGCGUGAUAAAACUUAGGUGAAUAUUGUCUUGACAUCAGCAGUAGUAAAAGCGGAUGAAGAAGCAGAAUCAGGAGAUGGCCUAGUAAAGUCAGUAGAGUCAGUGACAACAGCAGUUUAACGGUAAUAGGAUUCUUUGCAUCUGAGUUUGUUGUGGGAGUGACAGUCCUCAUAAGAAUGAUUGUCAUGUCUACAAAAGCUGCAAUAUUUCUUUUGGGAGCGAGAUGGCAUAGUCUUCGAGCCAAUAGAUCGAAUAGGCUGAGAGGAUAAUGGUAGAGGUGCCCAGGAAGGUGUGGCUAGAACAAGCUGAGAAUACUGAUGCAAAACCAUAGUCUUCUUGCGAGUCUCAUCAGAUCUAAGCUCGGUAAAGGGUUGGCCACAGUAGGAAAGCGGAUGAACGAUGAAGAGAGAGGCCAUGUAUGCUCUACAGGGAGGAUGAGUCAGAGAAAGUUGACAAAGAACGAAAACGGUCAGGUAGGGACAUUAAAAGGCGGCCGGCAUAGUAGAACAGGUCCAGUAGGAACUCCCACACCCCUCAAACUGGGCUAAGUGAUUCCAUAGAUUUGACAUCUUGCUGUAGAAAUCAAUAAGAGUCUAACCCGAUUCGAAAUGGAUGUGGUGAUGCUCAAGUCCCGACUGAUACUCACUGGCUCCAUCAACUGAAGAAUACCGCUCAUCCAAAUAAUCCUAAACCUCUUUAGCAGUCUCAAAUGGAGUAAAUAGUGAAUGGAUGGAUGGAACUGAAGUGUUGGAGAACCGGGUGAUAAUCUUGGAGUUGUCACUGUCCCAGUCUUCAAGCUUGGAUCGGUACUUGGCAUGAAAGUCAUCAUUAUCUUCAGCGAAAUCGGAAAAGUGGGGUGAUUGUGCAUUUCUUGUGAUAUAUUUUUAGAAUUUCUGGGUUCGAAAGAACCGUUGCAUGGCAAAGGACCAAAGGCGAUAGUUGGAUUCAUCGAGGAUGAUGGAAAUAGGCUGGAAGACUUUCGAUUGGUGCGUGGGCGCGUUGGUUGCACGUGAACUCAUCCUUCUUCUCCUCUGGUGGCGCGUGUCGGCACAUGGAUCUGACAUGCCGAUGAACUAAUAAAGCGUGUGGGCUCGUGUGGGCCCGUGAGGGCUUUGUUGCGAAUUGUUUUUAAUGAUUUGGAAUUGUCUCUUCAAUACGAAAUCAAAGGACGAUUCGGAGAAGAUUUUGACAUGACUUGAGGCCCGACAGUGGCUGGUUUGGUGGUUUUGGACUGGUUUUUGAGCUUUUGAUGGGUUGCAGAGUGUUUAGGCUAUAUCUAAGUAUGAUAGUUGGCGGAUUGUUCUUCGCCAAUGGGUGCCGGAGUAGUGCCAAAGGGUAGCGGAAGAGUUAGGCCAUAGAGCAUGGCUUUGAUACCAUGUUAGAAGAAGUUAAAGAGAGAGAAAUAAUGAGAGAGAGGGGGAAUUUAUGUAUAUUGUAUUCUGUGAGUAAAAUAGUACAGACGAGUCCUCUUUACAUAGAGAAUGAUCAAAAAGUAAUGGUUUACAUUAGGGAUGGCAAUUUCCCCCGUCCCUCUUCCCGCCCCGAUCUAGGUGAAUAUUUUGGGGAUUGGGGAUAAAAAAAAAUUCGGAGACGGGGCGGGGACGAUUUUGUAUAUCUCCCCGCCCCGAUCCCCAAUUCCCGCCCCGAAUUAAGUGCAUAUGUCCAAAAUGUUUGGGCGAAUUGUAUUUGUUAUAAACCUUAGGAAGGUUAAUGUAAUUUACCAAAAAUAAAAUACGUAAUGGUAUUUAUGCAAAUUACAAUGACAAUAGAGGCCAAUCUGGUACUCAAGCACAAUAUAUAUACUCUCCAACCCAUAGAAACCCUAGACCCCAUCCAUUGCGCCGAGUGAAGAGAGAGAGAGAGGUGGAAUCCAGUUCGUGUCUCAGUCCGUACCAGCUUGGAAGUUCCACGAAUCAGCGCCGAUGACCAUUCCAAUGGCGCCGAGGAAGGUCCGGAACGGCGAGCUCAUCGCCUUGGACCACGGUGACGAGGAUGACGACGAGAUGUUGCCGCCGCACGAGAUCGUCGUGAGAGGGUCGGCGAUAUUGCCGAAGACGACCUUCUCGGUGCUCAAAGGCGUCAGGUGGUUGGUAUUCUGCGACGCCACUGUAUGUCUUCGUCUUCAUCUUCAUCAUUGACAUGUCUCUAUUUCUCCAUAUGUUCCCAAACUUAUUUACAAGUAUCUCAGGCGCAUGU
rnacentral:lncRNA from 1 species